GUCCUUGUAGCUCAGUGGAUAGAGCAAUCGCCUCCUAAGCGAUAGGUCGCAGGUUCAAAUCCUGCCAAGGACG
rnacentral:tRNA from 1 species